UUUUUUCAUUAAUUUUUAUCGUCACCAGAGAGAAUAAACUCAGUGGGUAUUCGAAUUUAUGAGAAUUGCAAUCAGAGUUACAUUAAAAAUGUGACUAGGUUUUGUUUUGGGGUUUCUAGUGGGGAGUGCUAGACGCCGGGUUAGCGGCAGUCCAACACCCACACACUAAAAGUUUAUUUCCUGGGGACGCAAGGGUUAGACUUGGGAUGUUUUACCAUCCCGCAUCCUUCUCUUGUUUUUUGCCUUGUCAGUCUGGGAUACCUGAGCCGAAGCCCGGGUACCCAGGGUCUGUCAAGAGAAAAGAGGUGUGGUAAUGAUCCUUCCGCAGGUUCACCUACGGAAA
rnacentral:misc_RNA from 1 species